CUCGCACUACCUCCCCCUUCUGGUAGGCGGAGUGGCUGGGCUCGAAGGUCCCGCCUCCCGGCCGCGUGCGCGCUACGGGCCCCGUUUUCCAUUCUCGCGGGGAGUUUUUGUUUCGUGAGCGGAAGUUCUGGUUUAAACCUGGUGAUUCCGGGUCUUAUUGCCCUCCUGCCUGGUGCUAUCUCAGUCGUGGCAUCUUCACUGUAUUCUCCCCUCCGCCCCAGCAUCCACAGUCGGCUUGGCGCGCGGCUGGAUUCCAGGCGCCAUGGCUCCUCGCGUGAGGAAGCGGAAGGCCGAGGCCGCUGCGGUCUCCACGUCGGAGAAGCGGGAGAAACUGGAGAACGGCAAGGAACAAGUGGAGGAGGCGGUAGUCAUUGAGCAUUGCACUAGCUGACGCGUCUACGGGCGCAACGCCGCGGCCCUGAGCCAGGCGCUGCGCCUGGAGGCUCCGGAGCUUCCCGUGAAAGUAAAUCCUUCCAAGCCCCGGAGGGGCAGCUUCGAGGUGACCCUGCUGCGCCGGGACGGCACCAGUGCCGAGCUCUGGACCGGGAUUAAGAAGGGACCCCCACGCAAACUCAAAUUCCCCGAACCUCAAGAAGUGGUGGAAGAGUUGAAGAAGUACCUUUCGUAGGGCGAUUUGGGCAGAAGUCCUCAUGCUGAGUUCUCGGCGGACACAACAUCUUUGUUGGUAUGUGGUGCUGAGGAUCGAACCCCGGACGCACGCAUGCCAGACCUACCGCCUGAGCCACAUUCCCAGCCCCCAGAGUUACAUGGGUUUUUGUCUGUCUCUGGUGGUGUUGGAGCAUUUAUGAUGGGACAUGGCUAAACUUCAGUCAUGUACCUGAAGCCAUUUCUUCCACUCCAGAAAUGAUGAUACAGAUGAGGCAACCCUCUAGUAAGGCAUUGUAAAAAUAUUUGAAUUUGGUUUGUUUAAUAAAAGGUUAAAUAAAGUAUCUAAGAGUAAAA